GGUUUUCUAACUAGGCUUGAGAUUUUGCUUAAAAAAGUUACAAAGAAAAGGGAGAGUUAAUAGUCCUUAGUCUAUUUAAUUUAAAAUAUGUUCUUGUUUGAGUGGAUUAAUGUCAUGUUUUGUGAGUAAGAAAUGUAAAUGGGGUAUACUAAGAGACUACUUUUAAACUGUGUAAAG